rnacentral:rRNA from 1 species
CCCUUAGAUGUUCUGGGCCGCACGCGUGCUACACUGAGUGGAUCAGCGGGUCAGGUUGCGCGAAAGCGUUUCCUAAUCUUUAAAUCCGCUCGUGAUGGGGAUUGACGGUUGCAAUUUUCUGUCAUGAACGAGGAAUACCUUGUAAGCGCGGGUCAUCAUCCCGCGCUGAAUACGUCCCUGCCCUUUGUACACACCGCCCGUCGCUCCUACCGAUUGAGUGGUCCGGUGAGGCUUUGGGAUCUGAGCGGAAAGAGCGUUUCGCUGUUUCCGCUCGGAAAACUCAGUCGAACCUUAUCAUUUAGAGGAAGGAGAAGUCGUAACA